ensembl:snRNA U6 U6 spliceosomal RNA
GUGUUGCUUUGGCAGCUCAUAUACAGAAAUUGGAAUGAUAAGGAGAUUAGCAAGGUCUCUGCUCAAGAGCAACAUGCAAAUUCAUAAAGUGUUCCAUAUUUUA